AUUGACCUGACAUGAUUAGGUAACCGAAACUGCUGCAUUUUCAAGGAUGCAAGUGAUACUGGGAGAGGAUGAAACUCUAUUAUGAUGGUCUGUGACUCGUAGAGACCAACAAUUUGCAACUUUGGUACUAAUUUGUUGGAAUUUGAUUUUAGGGAGUUUUCUCCAUGCCACUUUGAGUACUGCUACACAAGUACCCAGUCCCUCAAUUGUUUUCGUCAGUACGUGAUAAGUAGUGAGUUUGACUAGCACCGCUUUUAGUACUCUGUUCUUAUUUACUUUUUAAGUUCUGAUUUCCUCAUGUUUGGGCCUUGUGCCUCUUUCUUCUAAGCUGGGAUACAAUGCAUGAGAUAGCUCUCGGGGUGGCUCGCGGAAUUGAGUAUCUCCACCAGGGAUGUGAGAUGCAAAUUCUACAUUUUGACAUUAAGCCCACACAUUCUUCUUCACAAAAACUUCAAGUCCAUAAUUUCAGACUUCAGGCUUGCAAGAUUCUACCUGAGAGACCAAAACACAGUAUUUGUUACAUGUGCAAGAGGCAGAAGGGAAUACGUAGCACCAGAAAUGCACUAGAAAAUCAUUGGAGGUGUCUCUUACAAAUUAAGCUGAUGUUUAUAAAUGGCGGGACGGAGAAACUGAGAAAGAACCUAAAUGCACACGUAGAAAUGUCUCUUACCACUGUCCACAAUAUAUGACAAGGAAGGAUUUACCAGAUGAGGCAGAUAAUGAGGAGGUGUCUACACUGUCACAUAUUCACAGAAAGCUACAGAAUCAGCCCCCAUGGUAUGCGAGGAAUGCAAUUUAUGGCCUAUUAAUGUAUCGCUCUUCUUAAACUUCAUGCUUCAUUAACAAUCACCUUCAUGUCUGCAUUAUCAAUAUCUGUUGAAAUUUAUUUAUUAAGUCAGUUCCUAAUAAAAAAAUUGGUUGAAAA